CUUAAUGUGGCAGAUAAGUGCAGUGAAUUUAAGCUUCCCUUAUAAAGAGAAUUCUUUCAUUAAGA
rnacentral:tRNA from 1 species